UACGUAGGGUGCAAGCGUUGUCCGGAAUUAUUGGGCGUAAAGAGCUCGUAGGCGGCUUGUCGCGUCGGCUGUGAAAUCCCGAGGCUCAACCUCGGGUCUGCAGUCGAUACGGGCAAACUAGAGUAUUGCAGGGGAGACUGGAAUUCCUGGUGUAGCGGUGAAAUGCGCAGAUAUCAGGAGGAACACCGGUGGCGAAGGCGGGUCUCUGGGCAAUAACUGACGCUGAGGAGCGAAAGCGUGGGGAGCGAACAGG
rnacentral:rRNA from 1 species